UACGAAGGGGGCUAGCGUUGCUCGGAAUCACUGGGCGUAAAGCGCACGUAGGCGGAUUGCUAAGUCAGGGGUGAAAUCCUGGAGCUCAACUCCAGAACUGCCUUUGAUACUGGCAACCUUGAGUCCGGGAGAGGUGAGUGGAACUGCGAGUGUAGAGGUGAAAUUCGUAGAUAUUCGCAAGAACACCAGUGGCGAAGGCGGCUCACUGGCCCGGGACUGACGCUGAGGUGCGAAAGCGUGGGGAGCAAACAGG
rnacentral:rRNA from 1 species